GCCCUGCUGGCCCAAAGGAUAAGGCGCCACUCUCCUAAGGUGGAGAUUCCGAGUUCGAUCCUCGGGUAGGGUA
rnacentral:tRNA from 1 species